UCAGUCCGCAAAAGUUCUCUUACCAAGUGAAAGUGAAUUGCAGUAUUUUUCGAAAUGAUUUCCAACAGCCUCAAUUUUUACUGCAUUAUAUUCAGUUUAUUCGUUGCAACUCAAGCAGUUGAUGUUUAUUUUUACGAACAUGCGGGAAGACAAGGUGUCUAUUUCAUAUCCAAUACCAACGAAGGUCUUUGCUAUGAAAUGCAUUCCAUGCUGAACGAUCGCGUUUCUUCUCUUGUGACCCCGUCGCAGAUGUGCUUGGAUGUUUAUGAGCAUGGCGGUUGUACAGGUAGGAGCAGACAUUUUGCGGCUGGAUACUCCGCGACGUAUGAACUAGGAGGCACCGAGUUCAACGAUAUGAUAAGCUCGUAUGGAAUAUCAAGUCGUGGAAGGAAUGGCUGUCAAUAAAAUACUAACAUUGGAAACGUCUGUUCAUAAUAAUUGGUAUUUGGUCUCAGUUUCAGUGAUGAAUAAAUGAUGACCUUUGUAUA